rnacentral:misc_RNA from 1 species
CCAAUAGCGUAUAUUAAAGUUGUUGCAGUUAAAAAGCUCGUAGUUGAAUUUCGGGGUCAGUAGGUUGGUCGUGCCACCGGUGCGUACUGAUCUCACUGAUUCCUCCUUCCUGAUGAGCUGUAAUGCCAUUAAUUUGGUGUUGCAGGGAAUCUGGACUGUUACUUUGAAAAAAUUAGAGUGUUUAAAGCAGGCUAACGCUUGAAUACAUUAGCAUGGAAUAAUGAAAUAGGACGUUCGAUCCUAUUUUGUUGGUUUCUAGGAGUGACGUAACGAUUAAUAGGGAUAGUUGGGGGCAUUAGUAUUCAAUUGGCAGAGGUGAAAUUCUGGGAGUGAUUGAAGACUAACUACUGCUAAAGCAUUUGCCAAGGAUGUUUUCAUUAAUCAAGAACGAAAGUUAGGGGAUCGAAGACGAUCAGAUACCGUCGUAGUCUUAACCAUAAACUAUGCCGACUAGGAAUCAGACGAUGUUAAUUUUUUAAUGACUCGUUUGGCACCUUACG